ACCUGGCUGGCUCAGUAGUAAGAGCAUGUGACUCCUGAUCUUGGGGCUGUGAGUUUGAACCCCACUUUGGGUG
rnacentral:tRNA from 1 species